ensembl:snRNA U1 U1 spliceosomal RNA
CUACUUACCUGGCAGUGGAGACCAUGAUCAGGAGGGUGGUUUUCCCAAGACGAGGCUCAUCCACUGCACUCAGGAAUUGCUGACCCCUGCAAUUGCCCCAAAUGUGGGAAACUUGACUGCAUAAUUUGUGGUAGUGGGGGACUGUGUUUGUGUUCUCCCCUG